rnacentral:pre_miRNA from 1 species
AGUGGAACAGCUGGGUUGGAUGGUGGUUCUAUUCCUGUUUUUUUGAGGAACCUCCAUACUGCUUUCCAGAAUGGUUGUACUAGUCUGCGGUCCCAUCAGCAGU